UACAGAGGGUGCAAGCGUUAAUCGGAGUUACUGGGCGUAAAGCGCGCGUAGGCGGCUUUGCAAGUCGGGUGUGAAAUCCCCAGGCUUAACCUGGGAACUGCAUUCGAGACUGCAUUGCUAGAGUAUGGGAGAGGGAAGUGGAAUUUCAGGUGUAGCGGUGAAAUGCGUAGAUAUCUGAAGGAACAUCAGUGGCGAAAGCGACUUCCUGGACCAAUACUGACGCUCAUGUGCGAAAGCGUGGGGAGCAAACAGG
rnacentral:rRNA from 1 species